AGCGAACGCUGGCGGCAGGCUUAACACAUGCAAGUCGAACGGGCUUCUUCGGAAGUCAGUGGCAGACGGGUGAGUAACACGUGGGAACGUGCCCUUCGGUCCGGAAUAACACAGGGAAACUUGUGCUAAUACCGGAUACGCCCUCUUGGGGAAAGGUUGACGGCCGAAGGAUCGGCCCGCGUCUGAUUAGCGUGUUGGAGGGGGAACGGCCUACCAAGGCGACGAUCAGGAGCUGGGCGGAGAGGAUGAUCAGCCGCACUGGGACUGAGACACGGCCCAGACUCCUACGGGAGGCAGCAGUGGGUAAUAUUGGACAAGGGGCGCAAGCCUGAUCCAGCCAUGCCGCGUGAGUGAUGAAGGCCUUAGGGUUGUAAAGCUCUUUUGUCCGGGACGAUAAUGACGGUACCGGAAGAAUAAGCCCCGGCUAACUUCGUG
rnacentral:rRNA from 1 species